GGUUAAGACUCCAAUGUCUCAGAUGAAACAACCCAUCCGCUGAGUUACAAUCAGUGUGCAGGCUUUUUGUGUCCACUAUAGGAGAGAGCCGGUAGCGCCACCGAUUUGGUGCACUUCUUCAGCAAAAUAAAGGUUUUGGAGUCAGUCACGGCAUUUCUCAGCUAUGAGUGAAACGUGAGGUGUUGGUCUGAUGUUCGCAGUUUCCCAGCAGCCCAUCACUGGCUCAGAUUUCAUCACCACACCGACACGCAAAGUAGCACUAUUUCGCGUAUGACAUCAUUCUCCCAGAGGACAGGGGUGGGAUACAGCUGCAGCCCCCUUCAGUUUACCCAGACUGCACUAAAACCCUAGCCCCCACCAAAACUACAAGAUCACAUCUAACUGCUCUUUUCUACUUCCCAACUCACUUUUGAAUGCCAUCUAAAGGGGGUUUAGCUUUAUUUGGUGCCUGUUGUGGACUGAAGAAGGAUGUAUGUGAAUUAUGUGCUCUAAAACUAAUGAUUUUUGUUUGAUCCUGAAAUGUGUGCAGUUGUCCUGCUAACCAUAGCACAAUGUUUGUCUGGUAUAGUUAUCAUCUGUGGAUCUGUCAGAAGUGCUUUCAAUGGCAAUGGGCAAAGGAAGCCACAAAUUGAUAAAAUUACUUGGCAGAGGAACUAUAGAGGAAGUUUUUAGUCGGUUAAACUGGCAUUUGUUUAUUUGAAUAAACUGUCCAUCAUUUCAACCAGCUUCCGUUCUGAUGUCAUUAUUGUCUGUAUGUCUCUGUGCACACGUGUUUGUGGUUUAUUCUAAAGCUGGCGAGAGGUCAGAGAGUAAAGGGUAAAGAUCUCGUCACAUCUAAGACACAUAUACUGUCUUUACUUUCAUCACCAUGACAACCCAGAUGUGCAUUUAGUCAGUGAUGUCUCAGAAUUUCCUUUCCUUAGUCUGAAACGCUGCAAAGAGGACGGAGGUUAUCCCUAGUUACAGCAAAACACUCAGAGAACUUAAGCGACAGGAAUUCUUACUAAGUUGUUGAGUCACAGAAGACUUUUUUUUUUCAGAGGAAAACUCCUACAGAAUAAAAAGUAGCUAGUGUUUGUGGGCGGAAGUUCACACAGAUUUUUUUUCUCUUUUUUUCCAGAAAAAACUUUGCUUUAAGGCAACAGUGUGCUACACCCCUGAGAUUUGUGAGUCAGAACACAAUCUGGUAGUGAUUUAUGAACGAGCUUUGGUCCGCCUUUUCGAUCAUUA